GUAAUUCUAGAGCUAAUACGUGCAACAAACCCUGACUUCUGGAAGGGAUGCAUUUAUUAGAUAAAAGGUCGACGAGGGCUUUGCCCCUUACUCUGAUGAUUCAUGAUAUCGACGGAUCGCACGGCCUUUGUGCCGGCAAUGCAUUAUUCAAAUUUUUGCCAUAUCAACUUUCGAUGGUAGGAUAGUGGCCUACUAUGGUGGUGACGGGUGACGGAGAAUUAGGGUUCGAU
rnacentral:ncRNA from 1 species